rnacentral:rRNA from 1 species
GACGAACGCUGGCGGCGUGCUUAACACAUGCAAGUCGAACGGAAAGGCCCUGCUUUUGUGGGGUGCUCGAGUGGCGAACGGGUGAGUAACACGUGAGUAACCUGCCCUUGACUUUGGGAUAACUUCAGGAAACUGGGGCUAAUACCGGAUAGGAGCUCCUGCUGCAUGGUGGGGGUUGGAAAGUUUCGGCGGUUGGGGAUGGACUCGCGGCUUAUCAGCUUGUUGGUGGGGUAGUGGCUUACCAAGGCUUUGACGGGUAGCCGGCCUGAGAGGGUGACCGGCCACAUUGGGACUGAGAUACGGCACAGACUCCUACGGGAGGCAGCAGUGGGGAAUAUUGCACAAUGGGCGGAAGCCUGAUGCAGCAACGCCUCGUGCGGGAUGACGGCCUUCGGGUUGUAAACCGCUUUCGCCUGUGACGAAGCGUGAGUGACGGUAAUGGGUAAAGAAGCACCGGCUAACUACGUG